rnacentral:rRNA from 1 species
AGUGAACGCUGGCGGUAGGCCUAACACAUGCAAGUCGAACGGCAGCACAGUAAGAGCUUGCUCUUACGGGUGGCGAGUGGCGGACGGGUGAGGAAUACAUCGGAAUCUACUUUUUCGUGGGGAUAACGUAGGGAAACUUACGCUAAUACCGCAUACGACCUACGGGUGAAAGCAGGUGAUCUUCGUACCUUUCUCGAUUUAAUGAGCCGAUGUCGGAUUAGCUAGUUGGCGGGGUAAAGGCCCACCAAGGCGACGAUCCGUAGCUGGUCUGAGAGGAUGAUCAGCAACACUGGAACUGAGACACGGUCCAGACUCCUACGGGAGGCAGCAGUGGGGAAUAUUGGACAAUGGGCGCAAGCCUGAUCCAGCCAUACCGCGUGGGUGAAGAAGGCCUUCGGGUUGUAAAGCCCUUUUGUUGGGAAAGAAAAGCAGCAGGUUAAUACCCCGCUGUUCUGACGGUACCCAAAGAAUAAGCACCGGCUAACUUCGUG